GCGCUUUGCUUCUGCAGCACAUAUGCUAAAAUUGGAAUUAUACAAAGAAGAUUAGCAUGGCCCCUGUGCAAUUAUGACAUGAAAAUUCAUGAAGCAUUCCAUAUUUUA
rnacentral:snRNA from 1 species